GACGAACGCUGGCGGUGUGCUUAACACAUGCAAGUCGAACGGAAAGGCCCUGCUUUUGUGGGGUGCUCGAGUGGCGAACGGGUGAGUAACACGUGAGUAACCUGCCCUUGACUUUGGGAUAACUUCAGGAAACUGGGGCUAAUACCGGAUAGGAGCUCCUGCUGCAUGGUGGGGGUUGGAAAGUUUCGGCGGUUGGGGAUGGACGCGCGGCUUAUCAGCUUGUUGGUGGGGUAGUGGCUUACCAAGGCUUUGACGGGUAGCCGGCCUGAGAGGGUGACCGGCCACAUUGGGACUGCGAUACGGCCCAGACUCCUACGGGAGGCAGCAGUGGGGAAUAUUGCACAAUGGGCGGAAGCCUGAUGCAGCAACGCCGCGUGCGGGAUGACGGCCUUCGGGUUGUAAACCGCUUUCGCCUGUGACGAAGCGUGAGUGACGGUAAUGGGUAAAGAAGCACCGGCUAACUACGUG
rnacentral:rRNA from 1 species